GCUCAGAUUGAACGCUGGCGGCAGGCCUAACACAUGCAAGUCGAGCGGAUGAAAGGAGCUUGCUCCUGGAUUCAGCGGCGGACGGGUGAGUAAUGCCUAGGAAUCUGCCUGGUAGUGGGGGACAACGUUUCGAAAGGAACGCUAAUACCGCAUACGUCCUACGGGAGAAAGCAGGGGACCUUCGGGCCUUGCGCUAUCAGAUGAGCCUAGGUCGGAUUAGCUAGUUGGUGAGGUAAUGGCUCACCAAGGCGACGAUCCGUAACUGGUCUGAGAGGAUGAUCAGUCACACUGGAACUGAGACACGGUCCAGACUCCUACGGGAGGCAGCAGUGGGGAAUAUUGGACAAUGGGCGAAAGCCUGAUCCAGCCAUGCCGCGUGUGUGAAGAAGGUCUUCGGAUUGUAAAGCACUUUAAGUUGGGAGGAAGGGUUGUAGAUUAAUACUCUGCAAUUUUGACGUUACCGACAGAAUAAGCACCGGCUAACUCUGUGCCAGCAGCCGCGGUAAUACAGAGGGUGCAAGCGUUAAUCGGAAUUACUGGGCGUAAAGCGCGCGUAGGUGGUUCGUUAAGUUGGAUGUGAAAUCCCCGGGCUCAACCUGGGAACUGCAUUCAAAACUGUCGAGCUAGAGUAUGGUAGAGGGUGGUGGAAUUUCCUGUGUAGCGGUGAAAUGCGUAGAUAUAGGAAGGAACACCAGUGGCGAAGGCGACCACCNGGAC
rnacentral:rRNA from 1 species